rnacentral:pre_miRNA from 15 species
UCCUUACCUGUACGAUGUUGAUUAUCUAAGCCUCAUCAAGUGGUUGUGAUAUGGAUACCCAACGCAUAUCACAGCCAGCUUUGAUGAGCUAGGAUAAUCAACGGGAGACAACGUAAAUGA